rnacentral:rRNA from 1 species
UACAGAGACUGCAAGCGUUAUUCGGAUUCACUGGGCGUAAAGGGUGCGCAGGCGGCCAAGUGUGUUAGGCGUGAAAGCCCGGGGCUUAACCCCGGAAUUGCACCUAAAACUACUUGGCUAGAGCAUUGGAGAGGGUAGCGGAAUUCACGGUGUAGCAGUGAAAUGCGCAGAUAUCGGGAUGAACACCCGUAGCGAAGGCGGCACUCUGGGCCGGUACUGACGCUGAGGAGCGAAAGCGUGGGGAGCAAACAGG